rnacentral:rRNA from 1 species
UACGUAGGUGGCAAGCGAUACUCGGAAUCACUAGGCGUAAAGCGCAGGUAGGCGGUGCAAUAAGUCUUUUGUGAAAGCUCCCGGCUUAACUGGGAGAGGUCAAGGGAAACUGUUGUGCUAGAGUGUGGCAGAGGAAGCUAGAAUUCCCGGUGUAGCGGUGAAAUGCGUAGAGACCCGGAGGAACACCAGUGGCGAAGGCGGCGUCCUGGCCUGCGACUGACGCUGUGGCGCGAAAGCUAGGGGAGCGAACGGG